UACGAAGGGGGCUAGCGUUGUUCGGAAUUACUGGGCGUAAAGCGCACGUAGGCGGAUACUUAAGUCAGGGGUGAAAUCCCGGGGCUCAACCCCGGAACUGCCUUUGAUACUGGGUAUCUCGAGUCCGGAAGAGGUGAGUGGAAUUCCGAGUGUAGAGGUGAAAUUCGUAGAUAUUCGGAGGAACACCAGUGGCGAAGGCGACUCACUGGUCCGGUACUGACGCUGAGGUGCGAAAGCGUGGGGAGCAAACAGG
rnacentral:rRNA from 1 species